rnacentral:rRNA from 1 species
AUGACUAGGGAUAAUCUUAGGAAAAGGCAUAUCAUUAAGCCACUUGACUGUGUCUUUUGCACUGACCUAGAAUCUAUCUCACAUCUCUUCUUUGGGUCUGUGGUAGCUAAGCAAGUCUGGGCUUAUGUUAAGGACCACUUCAGAGUAGAUGUAGGAUCUUCCUUUGAAUCUGUAACUAGAUACUAGGUUUCGAACAACAAAAACUCUGCUAUGAACACUAUCAAUGUAGCAGUCCUGUGGGGGCUCUGGAAAACUAGAAAUUCCUUUAUUUUUGACAACAAUAUCUGGAUUCCGAUUAAACAGGUGCUGAGGCUGGUUUUGAAGAUGAUCAAAGCCUGGUCUGUUCUUUCCCCGGAGCAGAGUGGGAUAAGGCUGGAGGCCUUUGCUGGGCACCUGACAAGAUGCAUUCAGCGUCCUCUAACGAUCUCGUGUGUCUGA